rnacentral:rRNA from 1 species
AGAGUUUGAUCAUGGCUCAGAGCGAACGCUGGCGGCAGGCCUAACACAUGCAAGUCGAGCGCCCCUCCUUCAAGCGAGCUUGGAGGAUUGCGGAGCGGUCUCCUUGGGCGGGCGAAAGCUCGCUUGACGGACAUCGCUGUGAGAUCAAGCGAGCCUUUAGGGGCUCGCUUGAUGGAGGGGAGCGGCAAACGGGAGAGUAACACGUGGGAACGUACCCUUUGGUUCGGAACAACCCAGGGAAACUUGGGCUAAUACCGAAUAAGCCCUUACGGGGAAAGAUUUAUCGCCGAAGGAUCGGCCCGCGUCUGAUUAGCUAGUUGGUGAGGUAACGGCUCACCAAGGCGACGAUCAGUAGCUGGUCUGAGAGGAUGAUCAGCCUCACUGGGACUGAGACACGGCCCAGACUCCUACGGGAAGCAGCAGUGGGGAAUAUUGGGCAAUGGGCGCAAGCCUGAUCCAGCCAUGCCGCGUGGGUGAUGAAGGCCCUAGGGUUGUAAAGCCCUUUCGGCGGGGAAGAUAAUGACGGUACCCGCAGAAGAAGCCCCGGCUAACUUCGUGCCAGCAGCCGCGGUA